rnacentral:misc_RNA from 1 species
AUGGACGCACUCUUGAUUUCGCUAUUGUUGCUUAUUAUUCUAAAACGUAGAAAACGGCGCCGAAUUCAGAACCAUCGACGACCAAUUCAUCGGCGUCACUGGGUACAUCCAAUUCUGACAUCACGCAAUAAAAAUGGACAGCACAAAUUGCUGUUCGAAGAGUUAAAAUGUUAUCCAGAUAAGUUCUUCAAGUAUUUUAGAAUGAGCGUGAACUCAUUCAAUGAAUUACUUAGCGUUUUGCACGAUGACCUCAAACAUCAAGAUACACGCAUGAGAAAAAGCAUCUCUCCAACAGAAAGGCUGGCUAUAACUUUAAGGUACCUUGCUACUGGUUGUUCAUUUGGUGAUUUUGAAUUAGUAUAUCGAUGUGGUGCGUCAACUGCGAGAUUGAUUGUAAAAGAAACAUGUAAAUUGAUCUAUGCAUCACUUCAAGAUAUCUGCGUACCACAACCAACUGAAGAGAUGUGGAGUAAAAUAGCUAAGGGGUUUGAAGAAUAUGCUAACUUUCCAAAUUGCUGUGGUGCAAUUGAUGGAAAACAUAUAAGGAUUAUUAAGCCUCAAGAUAGCGGAUCCUUAUAUUAUAAUUAUAAACACUAUUUUUCCAUCGUACUUCUAGCUAUCUGUGACGUGAAUUAUAAGUUCACAUUUAUUGAUGUCGGCUCUUAUGGGAAAGCUUCAGAUUCGACUAUCUACAAAGAAUCGAAAUUAUUCAAAAAAUUGGAAGACCAAUCCCUGAAUUUACCUGCACCAAAAGCAAUUUCUAGUAGUUCUGGUCCUGUAAACUACUGUUUUGUUGGUGAUGAAGCUUUUGGUCUUGCAGAACACAUGUUGAGACCUUAUUCAGGAAAACACUUGAAUAUUGAAAAAGGAAUUUUCAACUAUAGGCUUUCUCGAGCCAGGCGUCAUAUCGAGUGUGCCUUUGGGAUAUUAGUGAAUAAGUGGAGAAUACUACAUCGACCAUUGAAUGUGUCAAUAGAUUUCGCCGAAGACGUGAAGGCCUGUUGUAUACUACACAACUUUGUUCGUCAGAGAGAUGGAUUUAAUUUCCAUCAUACAUUGACUGUACCAGGACUUCACGAUAUCGAUAACGCCCACGUGCAAUCUCGUCGUUCAUUAAACACCAGAGAUAUAUUGAAAGAUUAUUUUAUUAGCAACGAGGGAGCUGUACCUUGGCAAAAUAAUAAAAUAUAAUAAAUAUAUAAUAAUAAUGUAAAAUAAAAUUGUCCAAAAACUUACCUGCUUUGUUUUUUUCCGCUACAUUUUUUUCACUAAAAUUUGGAAUAAAUUUUAGGCACAAUUCCUCCCAAGCUUCAGUUUUCUUACCCCUGUCGCUAUACAAAUCUGACUUUAAAUCCCAAAUAGCGGGUCGCUCUUCGACAUCGGAAAUAAAAGCGUCUACAUCAAAAUGAGGAAUCGGAUCCGUGGACAUCAUGCACGUGCAUUCAGUACGCAGCUUACAACAAGACUAGACCCGGGAGACGGGAUUGGGGAGCGGCGCGCAGGGGUGGGAAGAAGCCGGCAACUGUGGCCGUGUAUGCGCACGAGUCGAACGACAAAACGCAGCCACAAGUAGCGAGCGCGCUCGACUCUCGCAGCUUGUGGCUCGGACGCGGCCACUCAAGCGCUCAGUGUGCGCCGAUUCUAUAUAAAAUGUAUGAAGAAACGCGUCCGCAGGUUGUGGCGGCCACUAGUGGCUGAAGCGUGGCCGCCACUAAGUGGCCAGUGUGCGGGGGCUCUUAGUCUUCAUUGGUUAAUUAAGUCGUCAAACUAAUCAGUAAUCAUUAACUAGAAACGUAAUGCCAAUAUAAUUUCGCAGAUUAACUAAAAAUAUUGUUUUUCUUAAACUUGAACAUUUCCAAAUUCUGUUCCUGGUGGGAUAAUAUAGCCUAGGGCCAUAUUACCCACCAGAGCAAACAAUUAAGCGCAAGUUAUUUUGAGGAACAAAACUCACGGAAAAAAAUAUAAUUUUCCACCCCUGAGCAUUCUUCAUGGGCCCAUAGCUUACAACAUAAACAUUGUAUCCAUGAGUCACCUCUGUUGUCCAUAGAAUAGAGAGACUCGCAAUACAAGCACUUCGCGUCAGAAAAAUUGCGUCUAUCUGGACUUUCAUCAGAGCUUUCAUCGUACAAGGGUUCAUUUUCUUCCUCCGAGCUAGAUAUUUUUAUAGCCAUUAUUUUGGUCUUUUUGCCUUUACCCAUAUUAGUAUUUUCUUUUUUCUUCUUUAACGAGUCGUUUCAAGUCGUUUUUGUAUGGAGAUGAAAUCAGCAAUGUCGAUUUACAAGCCUUUCUGCCUCUGUUACUAGUCUUUCUAGGUGUUAUUUCUGGAAUCGGAGAUAACUGAAAGGGUGUUAUAAAAUUGUGUGUGGCCCCAAUCGCAUUGUCGCGACUGGCGUUCUUCUUUUUGAGGGCCACCUGUCUGAAGGCGGACUUCAGUGUCUUCGCGAAGUCCGCCCUCCGACGCGUCUUCCUCGGAGGAGCUCUGGUGAACUGCUCCUUCGUUGCCCCCAGGCGCUCCAGCGGCCCUCUCACUAACGGGCUUUUUUGACCGAGGCCCCGCGGCCACCGGAGAAAGACCCUAGGUCGUCCGCCUUCCUCUUGAGGAAGGUCUCAACCCUGUGGUCCUUCUUGCUGCGGGGACCGUGGAGUCUCCCGCAGUUCCCUCACUGGAUACGGACUCGCAGUCCGAGACUACAUCCCACUCCCUAUCUUCGUCUUUUUUAUUUUUUUUUGUUUUUGAUUUCGGAUCCCAUAAAUUUUCCCACGAGUAUUUAUCGUUAUUAAACACCGUGCAGAAUAUUUGCUUGCGGGCACCGACGAUCCUCGGGAAGAGCCCCGAGAGGUGCCGGCGCCCGCACCCCAGGGUGCACCACGUGGAGUUUUUCUGCCCCAGCACCCCAUGCUACUAUUUCCAACCGACUUACUGAAGGGAGGUUUUUUAUUCGGUUGUUUUUCUUUUUCAAUAUUUCCGUGCUUGGGCGGGCACGUUAAGCAUUCGUCCUGUUACUUAGGCUCGUUUUAACCGACAGCUUAAAAGUUUUUUUUAAAACAACUGUUUCCUCUUUGUUUGUUUUGCGAGUUUUUCCAUGCAGUUCCCACGAGUAUUGAACUUAAGUCUUAACAGUCCAUGGAAAGACGAGGGUGGCUAUAGAAAAUACUUAUGGCCAUAGCCUCUCUCAUAAAGUCCAACCAUUUAGCCUGUAAUCGCAAUUCAUCAUCUCUUUGUCUCACCCUUUCUUGCAUGUCUAACUCCUAAUUCCUCUGUCGCUCUAGGCUCACGCUCACGCCUAUCACGCUCUCUAGAAUACUCCUUUGCCUUUCUAUCCGCUUCUGAAAACAUUUUUCCUAUUUGUUGUUCCUUGGCUUUUUUUUGUGGUGGUGGUUUCCACGUCUCUUCUUCAGGUAUUUGAGGAGAUGGAGGAUGUGCCACAGUUGAUGGGAGAGCAGGGGUUUCAUCUGGUGGACUCGGUCACUUGAGUAAACAUACCUUGCGCCAUUUCUCCUCAGACCUAGAUUCGCCUGUGCCUUCACUAUUUAAUUGAUUUGACAAUUCCUUCCAUUUCAUUUGUAUGAAAUUCCGACCUCGUGGGCCGCCUGAAGGUUUAGACAAAUCUCCAUUUCUGGAAUAGAAAUAGCAUUGCACUUAAAAUACUUCACACUAAAGUUUAUGCCACUAAAACUUAUUAAAACUCUUUACUCACGCUUCCAUGAAUUCAACCAUCAUUUCAUAUUGCGUAUGACUGGUUCUUAUAAUGAUUUAUUAUCUUAAAAUCACUUAAUUAUUUAUAGAAAAAAAAAAAUACAGAAAUACUUUUGUUGUGGACGUGUAGCAAAACAUAAACAAACUCUAGGGACGGGGUCUGAUAUUAAAGAAGGAACGGAAGACGAAAUUGAUGUAACAUCUCAUCACCUCGCCUCCUAGGGUUUCAGAUAAGCCAGCCAUCCCAUAAGCACUCUCAGAACCUAUUUAUAUUUAGGAUUUUCUCCGUUGUUUCUGAGGGGCUUGGAAUGGUGGUACUGUUGCCUGUCAGAGAGCGUGCUGCAUUAGCACUUGCAGUAUCAUGCCGUUACAAGUUUAAAAGUAAUUGAAUAAAAUGCCGUCCGCCAAUGUUCCAUAGUUUUGUUCGGUCCGUAUUCUUUCAGCAACUGCUGGAUACCGAGCCAUUCUUCGUCGUGGUCUUCCUUGCCCAGAGGACCCCGGUAAUCGCCAUUUGCGAAAAGAGUGUGGGCAGACAUAUAGUCUACCAACAUCUCAAUUUGCUUAUUCACUUGGAUUCAUUGCGAUUGUGCCUUUCAAGGUUUUUUGUUUUGAGUAGUUUUUGGAACUACUUUGGUAGUGUUUGUGAAUUAACUUCACAAUUUUCUGCUGAUUUCCAAAAAGCUUUUUUUCCGUGUCCUUUAACCUUGUCUCUCCGAAAGAAGUGGAGAAAAGUCUCAGUGUAUUUAAAAUUGACACGUUGCUGCGUUCGAAAAAGGUCCCCUUUAGAGGAGACCUAAUUAUGUUGCAGCCUGCCCUUCUGCAACGCCGUCUGAACCCCAACUAAUUGGUAUUGGUCUCCGCAUUCAUGGGACGCCCACAGGAUGGGCAGCGCGGCGUCUGCGACGGAAUAAGGGGCCACCGUUUUGCCGCUUCAAUGGCCCUUUCGAUGCAAAUAGCCGCAGCAUAAUUCCAAAUAUUAAAAUUUCUAGCUAAUACUAAUUGAAAUGGUUCCAUUUCACCGAUACAACUACAAACUAAAACUGCAAUCUAAAACUAAAAUAAAAACUAAAAACUGAAAUCUUAAAUCUAAAACAAAACUACAAAUUAAAACUAAUAAAAUAAAAAAAAACGAAAACUUAAAACUAAUAAAAUAAAAAACAAACUACCUAAAAAAUUAGUCAAAUUAAAUAAUAUGAACUAAAAAUAACAAAAUCAAAGCAAAGAAGAGCAAAACAAACAAAAAUAAUAACUGAGUACUAAAAAGCAAGAGAGAAAAACUGAAAUUUUAAUAUUUAGAACGUAUUGAGAAUUUCCAACAAGUUCCGCGUAUUUUCUGUACCAGUACGUUAAGAUCAAACUUUACGCUUUACAAUGAGUCAUAGACGACACUUAAAAAAAAACAUGUUUUUUUUUCUAGACCAACAAUUUCUUUCCCGAAAACAGUCUCAUCCGAGCUACCAUUUUGGAAAUAUUAACCAUUUUCUAAAAAUAAGAAAAAUGAAAAUGGACCAUAACUCGCAAACGGUGCAUCGUAGGACCAUGCUUCUCAGAUCGUAAAUGAUUGCUGCAGGCAAGGUCGAACCGAUUCGGCUACACUCCAACCGCGGUAUCUCUUUCGAACAAGCCGCAGCCCCGGCAGGCCUUGGCUCUGCUGGGCCCCGCUAGGGUUGCUGACAUCUCUUUGAGGAGCGCGUGAAACAACGCGCGCCUUCGACACGGGUCUGUAUUUAUGUUCUCAAAACUUACAAACUAUAGAAAGCAAAUAUCACAUUCAUCUGGAGUAAAAUGGUCAUAAACAAAAUAAUUACAAAAAAAAAAAAAACACCAGAAAUAUGAACAUUGCAACAAAUUCCAAAUGUCCAACUUAGUAAUUUUUUAAUCUUUUAAUUAUUUAUCUCUUGUUAACAUCCAAAGCAAUCAACUAAUAUAAAAUGAGCUGGUUUCUGAUGACCUGAUUCAUCUACGAGUGACCCCUCAUGCCCAAGCGUAAAUGUAUGUUGUCAUACGCUCGGUGCAUGUCCGACAUUAUAUACGUGCCUGUGCAGACAUUUGCCUCGACAAUAGGGUCCAGGAUCGUCCGCGACUUAUCAGGGAUAAGCUCCACGUGAUUUUUUUUAGUAAGGCGGCUUAGGCACCCAAAUGUCCAAGUUUGCCGCCUUAACAGCCGGCUCCGGUGGUGUUUUCUGGUGUAUAAGUGGGUCUCAUCUAUUUCGACGAUGUCCGUGUUCCCACCGAGCACUUCUCUAUCGUGGGCUUCUGCCUCCUCACACACCUCUCUAAGGUAGUGAUAGGUUUGAAUUGCGGUUUUUUUUGCUACCCCAAUAUCUAUUAACUUUUCCUUGCUCGGGAGAGCACGUUAAGCUUUUCCCCCCAUAAAUAUUUGGGUAAUUUUUUCUCUAUUUUGUUUUCUAGUAGCACCGAGAUAUAUUAUUUCCAGUGAUUGUGCUACAUUUUGUAAAUUUUCCGUGUUAGGCACGUUAAACCUUUCCCUCAUUAAUACUUCUCGCUCGCUUAGCGGGAGUAUUUGCCGAUUCAAUUACAACUUUUCCAUUUUACUCUGCAAAGCAGCUCAUGCCACUUCCUCUGGGAAGACCUGUUGUUGGGUAAAUGUACAUUCGGGCUAGUAAUUUCCCAUGCAUCCGUAGCCUCUGCUAUGUACGGCACCUCUGUCUGCAGGCGAUCCACCUUCGCCUGCAGUUGCCGCGUCCCCUCUUAGGUGGUGCGCUGCGCCAGUUCCUUUACAAUGCCGAGCAAGCUCGCUGGCUUACACUUCUUAAUCGGAUACAUUUUCUUCCUAGUUCUGGGUAGUUCUAUGUAUGUCGCGCAGUAAACGGCGGAACCUAGCUGGUCGGACAUUAGGCCCAUAGCACACGGCGUUUUUUAAACGCGCUGACGACGCGCAGAGAACGCGCGUAUACACGAUUCAAACGAGAUUGGAUCGCAACCUUGUAACUUAAGCACACGGGGCGAUUAUAAAACCUGCCUCUUCUGCGCGUAUACGCGCAGGUACAGCGGUAAGACGCGCUGUAGUCGCUCGUACCUUUUGCGUUUUGAUCAGAGACUCCUCUUCUUCAGUUGUACAAUGGCGUCGGUUGAGACAACACUGCUUACUUUGGCUUUAGUACUUCUUUUAAAAAGUAAAAAACGUAAAAAAAAGCGAAUUUAUUGGAUAGAUCCAUUUACGAGUGAAAAAAGAUUGAGUGGUCAUUAUCAUACAACUUUUAAAAAAUUGGUAAUACAUAGAAGAUGGAAGAAAUUUUAUAAUUGUUAUCGAAUGUCAUAUUCGUCAUUCCAAGAACUUCUUUUGAUUCUAAAACCUGAGUUAACUCGUCAAAAUACAGCAAUGAGAUCAUGUAUAUCGGCAGAAGAACGUUUGCUCAUCACAUUGAGGUAUUUAGCUACGGGUUGCUAUUUCUCAGAUAUUCACUAUGACUUUAAGUGUGGACAAACGACGGCAGGCAUCAUAGUCCGUGAAACAGUGAAAAUAAUAUGGGAUAAAUUAAAAAACAUCUGUAUGCCAGAACCAACCGAGGAAUCACAUCUAAAAACUGCUGAAGGAUUUAUGAAAUACGCAAAUUUUCCCAAUCUACUUGGGGCUAUCGAUGGGAAACAUAUCAGAGUUAUAAAACCUCAACAUAGUGGAUCAGAGUAUUUUAAUUAUAAAAAAUAUUUUUCCAUCGUAUUGCUUGCAAUAUGUGACGCAAAUUACAGAUUUAUCGAUAUAGAUGUCGGAUGCUAUGGAAAGGCUGCAGACUCAACAAUAAAUGAAUGUAGUGAAUGGACCAAAAAGAUAAGGCAAGGAAAUUAUAAUAUACCAAAUGCGAGACCAAUAUCUAAUAAUGGAGUGCCAAUACCAUUUACGUUUGUUGGAGAUGAAGGCUUUGCAUUAUCUCAACAUUUACAGAGACCUUACGCUGGAAAAAUCUUGCCACGAGAGAAAAGAAUAUAUAAUUACCGCUUGACACGUGCCAGACGAUACAUUGAAUGUACAUUUGGUAUAUUAAGCAACAAAUUUAAAAUCUUUAAUCGGCCACUGAACGUUAGCGUGGACUUCAGUGUGGCUAUUGUGAAAGCCUGUUGUGUACUGCAUAAUUUCAUACGUGAACGUGACGGUUAUAAUUUUCAUAAUUCUUUGAGUAUAGUUGGUUUAGAAGAUCCUCCUGAAGAUGCAAGUUUGAUUUCGAUUGGUGCAAGACGGUCACAGGGACAAUUAAGCGGAACUAUGAUACGAAAUAUGUACGCUGAUUAUUUUAUUAGUGAUGAAGGUGCAGUACCAUGGCAAGAUUCUAAAAUUUAGGGUACCUACCAGUAGCGUAGGGUGAAAAAAAAGAAAAGUAAAGCCAGCACAAAAAAAAGUUUACCGCGUCAAUAAACAAGACGUCAUUAAAUUACUUACAUAAAAGUUCUCAUCAAGACGAAUCAAACGAGCCCAAACUUGAUGGAAUUACUUUGUUUUAUUACGAAGAUCCUAUAGCCGACUUCCAGCUCCAUCGUCAGACCCUGGAAACUGUCUGAAGACAAAGUACUCAUCAAGACAAAUGAAACGAGCCCAAACUCGACGGAAUUACGUUGCUUUAUUACAGAGAUCCCAUGGCCACCCUCCAGCUCCAUCAUGAGACCUUGGAAACUGUCUGAAUACAAAAUACUCAUCAAGACAAAUGAAACGAGUCCAAACUCGAUGGAAGUACAUCGCUUUAUUACUGAGUUCCUAUGGCCACCUUCCACCUCUAUCAUCAGAUCAGUUCUACGUCAUACAUCAUCAUAAUAUUCCACUGUCAUGCGAUUUACACAUUUAUGCAAAAUUUCAGCUUAAUUGGAAACCGACAAGUGGGUCAAAUUUAACUUACAACAUUAUAUUGCAACGGACAAAUGAAACGAAAUAAUAUUCUUAUAAUAAAGAUUGUAAGCUAUCACAGAUCGGCUUUACCCGGCUCAUAUUAUCGACAGUGUUUGCAUGUGGUAGUAAUGUGUAUGUAUGCGUGAAUCGCAUACAUUUCAAACAUUUGAAUUCCCAUAAAUAUGAGCGAGUAAAAUCGGCACGCGUAAAAUAAUAUACGUGUGCGUUUGCGCGAUUCAAAUACAUUGCGUAUUUUGUAUUCAGCUUAUUGAAGAAUAUUUUGUGAAAGCGUGUAAUGCAAGGUGACCGUUUGUGGCAGGUUCCUGCCAUUUUGACAGAUUAAUUAAGGACAAAAAAAGCCUGGCAUAGAUUAAUAAUUUAUAUAAUUAAUUUACUGAGACUCUCAGUAAAUUAAUUAAAUAAAUUCUGCCAACUGCCAGGGUUUUUUUGUCCUUAAUUAAUCUGUACAAAAUGGCAGGAACCUGCCACAAAUGGUCACCCUGGUGUAAUGUAAUUAUAUUGUUUGCGAUAAUUACGUAGAUUAGUCGAAUAGAUUUUUGUAAGACUAGGGCUCAGUGAAGCUAUUGUUGUAAAUAUAAAAAAAAUACAUAUACCUAUUAGAAUCUGCCAAGGGAAGCCGAUGGGAAUCGUGUUGUAUGGAGGCUACGCCACUGGUACCUACCUAAUUACAUGUUCUACUGUUUUACUGUUCUAUGUACCGUCGCACUAUAAACUAUAAUAAAUUAUUUUUAAAUAAAUAUAAGAAAUCUUACCUGC